CCCUCUUAGAACACAUAGGUACCACAAGAGACAAGAAAACAAUUGAAAAUCAUUUUCUAAAAGGUGCAACGUAUAACAAACGUAUGAGACGCGAAUAAGAAACGAAUAAGUAACAGGGUAACAGUCGAGCGCUGAAACGGGUACAUACGCGCUUAUAGGGUUAAAUCACCCCUUAGAACCCAAAUUUACCACCAGUGACAAGAAAACAAUUGAAAAUCAUUUUUUUAAAUGUGCAACGUAUAACACACGUAUUAUACGCGAAUAAGGAACGAAUAAGUAACAGGGUAUCAGUCGAGCGCUGAAACUGCUACAUACGCGCUGAUAGGGUUAUAUCACCUCUUAGAAACGCAAUCUACCACUAGAAACAAGAAAACAAUUUAAAAUCCUUUUUUUUUAAAAGGUGCAACGUAUACCACGCGUAUUAAAAGCGAUUAAGGAACGAAUAAGUAACAGGGUAUAAACCGAGCGCUGGAACGGGUACAUACGCGCUAAUAGGGUUAUUUCAUCUCUAAGAACACAUAGUUACCGCCAGAGACAAGAACACAAUUGAAAAUCAUUUUCUAAAAGGUGCAACGUAUAAUACGCGUGUUAUAAACAAGGUAUUAGUCAAGCUCCGAAACGAUGUACACCCCGCUAACAUGUUUUAUAGCUGACCAUGCGGUAUGGGCUUUGCUUAUUGUUGAAGGCCGUAUCGUGAUUGACCUAUAGUUGUUAAUUUCUGUGUCAUUUUGGUCUAUUGUGGGGAGUUGUCUCAUUGGCGAUCAUACCACAUCUUCAUUUUUAUACAAGCGCUAAAAGGUGAUUUCACCUCUUCGAACCAAGAACCAGAUCUUCAAACAUACGAAUAUAAAACAUUUAAAAGGUAGAACGUAUAAAAAUCAAAUAAGAAACAAAUAAGUAUCGAACAUAAAGCAACAGGAUCGGUUGAGCACAAACACAUAUAAAUAGGUCAUAAAAAGGUCAUUUUACCUCAACAAAUUUAGAACUAUAACCAGAGAUAAGAAUAUAAACAAUUAAAAAGGGGGAAGGAUAUCAAAAAUCGAAUAAGUAACGAAUAAGGAAUAAGUAAUAAGUAACGAA
rnacentral:lncRNA from 1 species